rnacentral:rRNA from 1 species
GAUGAACGCUGGCGGCGUGCUUAACACAUGCAAGUCGAACGAAGCACUUUAUUUGAUUUCCUUCGGGACUGAUUAUUUUGUGACUGAGUGGCGGACGGGUGAGUAACGCGUGGGUAACCUGCCUUGUACAGGGGGAUAACAGUUGGAAACGGCUGCUAAUACCGCAUAAGCGCACGGCAUCGCAUGAUGCAGUGUGAAAAACUCCGGUGGUAUAAGAUGGACCGCGUUGGAUUAGCUAGUUGGUGAGGUAACGGCCCACCAAGGCGACGAUCCAUAGCCGACCUGAGAGGGUGACCGGCCACAUUGGGACUGAGACACGGCCCAAACUCCUACGGGAGGCAGCAGUGGGGAAUAUUGCACAAUGGGCGAAAGCCUGAUGCAGCGACGCCGCGUGAGCGAAGAAGUAUUUCGGUAUGUAAAGCUCUAUCAGCAGGGAAGAUAAUGACGGUACCUGACUAAGAAGCACCGGCUAAAUACGUG